rnacentral:lncRNA from 1 species
GAUGCCCUGUGCUGUCAUGAGACUCUGCAGUGUCCCUACCAGCAGGAAGGCUCUCCCCAAAUGCAGCCCCUUGACCCUGGACUUCCCAGCCUCCAGAACUUGAGAAGAGGAACAAAUGGAGGAACAUCCCAGUCAAGUGACAUUCCUAGUGACAUUCACCAGAACAGAGUCAAGCUUUGGAUCCCAUGUUCUGUGACUUCCUCUUCACCACGCUUCCUCCACACACGUAGCAGCUCAAGGGUUUCUGAUGAGUGGGAGGCUUGACUAGAAUUGAAUUCGAGACAAGCACAAAGAUCAUGAUGCAAAUGAAAGGGACAGAGGGGAGAGAAACAGAAAACAAAGCAUUGCACCCAGUGGAGAAGCAUGUGUGGCCAGGGAGCUGCAUGAAGGUGAAAUCAGAACCUGUCCUUGGAGCACUCCUGGAAGUAUGAGCAGGGGUGCAGUCAGGACGGCCUGACUCUCUGACCCUGUGACUGAGCCACAGGGGUCUCUUCUAUGCUUCACUGUGCUUCUUCAAUCUUGCCAUCACUGUGUUGAAAAAGCAUCCCUGGGCAUUUGUGGUGAAGCCAUUGGCAGAGCAUCAACAGUCUUUCCAAUGUACCAGUCCCACAGGGACCAGCCCCGGCUCCUUUACUUGGUUCAUCAUCCCACAAAAAAGGCUCCAGAGUGAUGAGUGGAGGGAAUGUGUAUACAAGCUGGGAGAUGCUUCAGGGAUGGGGCAUGACUCUGAGAAGCUCCACAUGCAAAACAGGGUUAUGAUGGUCUAGGAGCCAGCUGCAGGGAGGUGGGCAGCCAGGAGGUGGGCUGGGGCUAUCAGGGGAGUGACUGACUGCAAGGGCAGGCUCAAGGUGAAACUUUGAGAGGCAGAUCCCAAGGCCCUUGGAUCUGGCCUGUUACAGCAAAUGGAGGAGUAAGGCAGAAAAGUCCUCUAGGGCUGUCUUCUACUCUCUCCUCCAACAGAUUUUCACUGAGCAUUUGCCAUGAGCCAGACUCUGUUAGCUGUUGAGGUUUCAAGGGAAGGUAGAAAAGACAGAAGCAAACCAAUGAUAAAGAUAUCUAUUGUCUUUUAGUGACUUUCAUACACGCUCCCUCUCUUUUUUAUUCUGUGCAUCUCAUUAUCUAAGGGCUCGUUUUGUACCAAAUGCUUUUAUACAUCAUCUCAUUCAAAUCUCUCUGAGGUUGGAAAUGCUAUUUUUGUUUUACAGCUGUAAAAACUAAGGCCAGAGAGGGAAAGUGAGUGACCCAGGGCCCCACAGCUAGACAGAUUCAAAUCCAUGGGGUCUAUCUUAGUGACAAAGCUGGCACAUUUCUUCCCCUCCUUGUGCCUGCUGAGGUUUUUUUGUUUUGUUUUGUUUUGUUUUUUGUUUGUUUGUUUUGGCUUUUAACAUUUUACAAUAUUUUGCUAUUUUUUCCUAAUCAGGCAAUAUACAUAAAUAUUUUAACAAUCAACUAGUUUAAGAUUUAUGAAAAACAGCGUUUUCUUGCCCACCUUCUCCCAAUUCUUCCUGCUCCCCAGAGGCAGCCACUUCCAAAUGUUAGCCAGUUCAAUUCUACAUGUAAUAGGAGAACGGCAAUUUUUAUUGAUGUGUUGAUUUGAGACAUUUGGCAUCUUCCGGUGAUGAAGUUUUGUCUCUCUCUACUGGACACCAUCUGCCUCUUCCAGAUGUAUUCUUCUCACCCUGGGCAUUCUCCCAAGAGGCUGACCUGUAGGAACGCAGUGAACAGGCUACCUGAUCACUGGCUUCUGGGUUGGGUGUGGCUCAUGAGAGACAUUGGCAGGAGACUGGAUUGGAGGAAGAUGCAGGGGCCAGAGUGUUUACUCUCCUAGAUAAGCCCCUUCCUCCUCUUCUGGCAGGCAGUGCUCUCCAUAUAGCCGCUCUCUUAGGUUCUAGAAAUUGCUCCUACCUUGCCCUUGAGCUCUCAUGCCUAGAGGUGGCAAUGACUGCCUGCUACUGUCAGUGCUAGGUACUGCACUCUGUUUUCCUAAACCCUUUUCACACUUUUAUGAAUAGUCUAUUCAUUACAAUUAGAUACAACUUACCCCCACACCAUCCCCAUACAACUAUACACUCCCCUUCCAGUAUCCUCUCAAUAUAAUUAUAUCAUAUUUGUUGACAUCAUUAGUUGGACAGUAUUUACAUUAUUAAACUAUAUAAAUAUUGCUGACUACAUAGCCAAGUAGAGAGUUAUCAGUCGUGAUUGCAUUUCCUUUUCUAAACUAAUUUUUGUUUUUCCUGCGUUUAACUGCCCAUUUUAAAAAAAGACUUAGUUUUCAAUACAUAGGUCUUUAAUUCUUUCCACACACACCAUCAGACAUGUUAAAUGCAUGUACAUGUUGUUUUCCUGUUUCAAACAUUGUAAAUUCUCUGUAUCUUUUUCUUUGGGUGGGGGGCAAGUGUGAAGUAAACCAGCCUCCAGAAUAAAUAGAACUCAGUGUUAUGGAUUCUAAAAUUAAAAUCUUAACAAAUUAACAAAGUGAUGAAAACAGGAAGUUUAGCUCUCAAGGAUCCUUUAUUGGUCUUAAAGGUUUUACUCUCUUUGGCAAAUAUUGUGACCACUUUAUAGAUGCUACAUAUUCUACUAGACAAAUACUAUGACCUCUUUCAAAGUGUAUCAUCAUUCCCCUUUUAAAUAGCACAUUCGAAGUGUGCUGACUUUUAGUUCUAGGGUCUGCCUUCCCCUUACCUGCUGAGUGUCACAGGAUCUCUUCCCUCCUUGAUUAUCUCAAGGAGAUACAUCAACUUUUGGUUCAUAAAAGAAAGUCAGUCGCUUUUAUUUGUUAAAGACUUGAAGUAUGGGCUGGGCGUGGUGGCUCACGCCUGUAAUCCCAGCACUUUGGGAGGCCGAGGCAGGCGGAUCACCUGAGGUUUGGAGUUUGAGACCAGCCUGACCAACAUGGAGAAACCCUGUCUCUACUAAAAAUACAAAAUUAGCUGGAUGUGGUGGCACAUGCCUGUAAUCCCAGCUACUUGGGAGGCUGAGACAGGAGAAUCGCUUGAACCCGGGAGGCGGAGCUUGCGGUGAGCCGAGAUCGCCCCAUUGUACUCCAGCCUGGGCAACAAGAGCAAAACUCUGUCUCAAAAAAAAAAAAAAAAAAAAAUUGAAGUGUAGUAGGCCUCAAUCUCUGGCUUCCUGCAGUGUAGAUCUUAUCAACAUAAGGUCUCUAUUUAAAAAUGCUGAAAUUGUAGUCUUAUUUUUCGCAAACUUUUCCUGGAGACCCUUCCCUGGAGCCCCCUCUUAGUCAGCUACUUGCUGGACCUUUCUUUCAGCAUUAUCAGCUAUUUCCCUUUCCCUCUCCUGUGCUAGAUGUCCUGUUUCCUGGAUUCCAUACCCUCUUAUUUCUUGAUUUACUCCUUUGUUUUGCUGGAGCAGAUCUUCUAGCAGCUUUGUAAGAAAGCGUGCAUGGAAGGUAAUUUUUCUUGAGUGCCUACAUGUCUAAAAAUGUAUAUGUCCUACUAUUCACUUGAAUUGUAACUGGACAAGCUUAAAAUUUCAGACUAUAAAUGAUCUUUCCUCAAAAUUGUGAAACAUUGCUCCAUUGUUUUCCUGUAAUAAGUGUUGCUGGAGAGAAAUCUGAAGCCAUUUGAUCCCCUUUUUUUGGUUUGCUAUGUGUUCCCUAUAGAAUUCUCUUUUUAACCCUGGUAUUUUGAAAUUUAUGGCACAGGACUUUGGUUGUGCCAAAAAAGGGCACAUUUUAAAAAUUUUAUUAUUUUAGUGGUGUUUUUCAAUUUGAGAAUCUUAGCUUUUAGUUAUAGAAACUUAGUUAUAGGAACUUUUCUUUAUAUAGAAUUUCCUUCCUUCCAAUUUAUAUAUUGCCUCGGGAAUUCCUACCAUUCAAUUUGAAACUUGUGGAUUGAGCUUUUAAGUCUCUUCUUUUAUCUCUCUUAUUUCUUUUUUUCCUCUGGUUCUGUUUUCUGGGAGAUUUCUUUGACUUAUCUUUCAAUUGUUUAUUAGAAUUUUAAUGAUCCAAUUUCUUGUUUUCUGACUGCUUUACAUUAAAAACAUUUUAUUCUAGUUUUACAUAUUCAAUAUCUUCUCUCUCUUUCUAAGGAGAGUAAUCUGGUUUAUUUUUAUUUUAGAAGUUUUCUUCUCUUUCCUGCGUUGUCUCUGUUUCUCCUGGGUUCUUAUUUUUGUUGUGUCUGUUUCGGUUUCUAAAUCUUGAAGUCUUACUUUGCCUGCCUAGAGACCCUUAGCUACUUGGAAGCUCUGUGUUUUCAAGGUUGGGCUUUUAACUGGUGGGUAUCAAAGUAGGGUUAGUGGUGAGCGGGACAUUUUUGUGGGGACUCCCAUAUUUCAAUAUCUAAAGGAAUCCUUUUUUAUUUUUAUUUUUCCAGGACCAUUUAGUCUAUCCAGGGAACUAAUGUCUAUAUCUGUACCCUGGUUGGUAAAAUGCUAGCUGUGAGCGGGGGCAGGGGGAGGUGACGAAGUGGGGAUCCCUGUGUGUCUCAGUCUCCACUGUGCAAACUUACCCCUAUCCCCCGUCCCUUCAGUUUUAUUGACCCCUACUUUACACUGUGUGUGAUGACCCCAAGUCUAGAGAAUUUCAGGUUAAUUUCUCCCAGAGUGUAAUUGCCAGUCCCAGGCUGGGGUCGGGUGGAAGUGAAGUAGUAUGUAUGGGCUGGAGGGUAGUUGCUGCGGUCAAAGGGAGAAAAGGGCACAUGGAGAUCGAACUAGACCAUGUUCUGACUUUCACUCUGCUCCCCUAUUUCACACCCAAGCCUUGCACCUGUCUUUUAAGGCAUCUGGUGCCUUAGCUUAUGCUCUCAGAGUCCUGGAAGAGGACUGGCCUCUUCUCACACCCUCUUCUCCCCCUUCCCCUUGCAGGCACCCUAGCUCACAACUUACUCCUAAAUCUGUACCAUUUCUUUAUCUGCUUUCCAUCUUCCAAAAUAAUAAUAAUAAUAAUAAUAAUAAUAAAAACACCUGCUGAGAUCUCUUCUUCUGAUGUCUUUUAAUUCCUUUCCUGCCUCUGGAGGUCAAUCUGCUAUGUUUAGUUAGAAGUCCCAAAGGCCAUGCUUUGAACCAUUAGGUAAUCCUGCUUUCUGCAAGACAACUUCAGUAUCUGAGAGUUUUUUCCUCCCGUAGUAAAAACAAAGUCAUUUCCAUCUUUGUGUUUACCACAGCUGGUGGCAAAGACUCUCCUUGGCCAAGGCUUAGUCAGGCUCCUCUGAGCUCUCUUAUCGACUAGGCUUCGGCCUUGGUCUUAGUCGUUGCCGAGCCUGCACUGCCCAGUCUUGGCAAGAAUCCUGUUAAGUCAGUUUAGCAAGAAUCCCUCACCCUUGAUUUAUGAUCACCCUUAAUAUCUGAUCAAGUUCUUUAUGUACCACAUUUUCUUUUCUCACUGCACUUUCACACUUUCAUUUCUAACAUCCCUCACUUUUGAUGUAUAUAUCCUUGGCCUGCCUUUAGCAAGAAUUCUGUUAGGUCAGUUUUGCAAGAAUCUCUGUACCCUUGAUGUGUCCUCUUGGUAAUUUUUCAUCCAAUCAUCCCCAUCUUGUUCCUUGGCCCCAGCAGUCUUUGUUGUAUUUGGAGUUGAGCCCAAUCUCUCUCCCUUAUUGCACUGUCCCUAUUGCAAUAGUCCUUUAAAAAAACAAUUUUUUUUUUGGCAGAGAGAGGGUCUCCCUAUGUUGCCCAGGCUAGUCUCAGACUCCUGGCCUACUAGGUGAUCCUCCUGCCUCGGCCCUCCAAAGUGCUGGGAUUAUAGGUGUGAGCCACCACAUCCUGCAGUAAUCUUGGAUAAAGUCUUCCCUACCCUUAUAACAAGUGUCAAAAUAAUAUUAUCACUGGCAUUUGGGAAACAGUGCAGAAGCAGUGCAAGCAGGGACUGCGUGAGAAUGGGAAAGCUAGCCUUUGCCUCAAGAACACUCUGCUUGACUUCAUUAGACAGCUGCACAGGAGGUAAUUUUCUAGGGCAUGGUUUUUCAAACUGUGAGCUGCAACUAUUUACUAAGUCACAUCAACAUUUUAAAAUGAAAUAGAAUAGAGUUAGAAAAUACCAUCCUGUAUUGCCUGUAAUUAAGGGAAGUAUUGACUCAUAAAACUUUUGUUUCAGCUUAUGUGUCUGUGCACCCGGUCAAGGUGUAAAGAUGUAUAUAUAUAUAUAUAUAUACUUUUUACCAUGUAAACUGGUAAAAUAAAAUAAAAUGAUAAAAUAAAAUUAUAGAAGCCACUGAUCUAGGAAGUAGUUUUGGACCUUUUGCUUUCCCCCCCGCCCCCACCCCCAAGAAUAGCUAUACCAGUCAGGCUGAUACUAUUAUCUCUAUUUUAGAGGGGAUGGAUUUGGUUAGGUAAAAUCUCACCACUGAGUGCUAACAUGUCAAUUUCUUAGUCUCUAUUUUACCAUAACCGUGUUAGCUUUUCCUUUGUUUAAAGCAUUUUCUUAACUUUAUCUUGCUUAAGAAAGCCAGGACAUGUAAGAUUCAAGCUUCAUUUCCAAAGUGAAUGAACAGAUAAAUGCUUGUCAGUAUUAGACUAACAAAGAGAUCAAAAGCAAUAGGCAAAACAAUCCACACAUGCCUAGAUGGGGUAAAAUGAAGACUUUGUGAAUCAUUUCCUUUUUAAGUUAUUAGUUCUUGGGAACCUAAGGAAGGAGUAUGGGAUUCUUACCUCAUGGUGGGUGGUAGGAAUUGUGUGAAGCAUUAGUGGCAAGAUUGCAUGCUUAGACUCACAGUAUAAGUAAAACUCAUUCUAUAGACAAUUCUACAAAAGAAUGAGAAGAAUGCCAUAGACCGUGGAAGGCUCAUGCGAUGAGCAUGUCAGCCCACUUCUGCUCUGCCUUUCCUUUAAACUGGUCCACACCCCAGACCCUUCACCAUUUUGGUUUUUGUAGGAAGAGAACUCAACCACCAAAUACCCUGUAGGCUUGGGAGGGCAUACACAUGAGAAGCAGGUUCCCCUAGGCUCAGGUGAGCCCCACCUUCAAGGUGGAAAACCUUGGGGACCUUCUGGAAAUGCAGAGGCAGAUAGGGCUUCAUGCUUGGUGAAGAGAUGAGCAUUCACAACUAGCUUGGUUCUCUACCAAUGGUCAAAAUGGUUGAUUUUGCUACUGAAUGAGAGACAUCAAUUUUCUUGAGAUUCAACUAUCUUUUGUGCCACUUCUGUGUAAUGCCAACUAGUCAUUUGGUGAGUUUAUUUAGAUAAAGAAUCAGAUUUUGAAGCAAACUUGUUUCCUCUGUGACCAAAAAAAGGGCAUUUUAAGCCUGCAAAUAAAACUUAAAAUGCUUUAUUUCUAUAAAUAAAUAAAUAAACUGAGCAAAUAAAAAAAUACAACACAUGGAACAUAAAAACUCCAGUAACAAUUGGACCAGGUCACCCUUAGUGUAAAUGUCAACAUUCUUUUUCAAAUUGUUAUUUAAUUAUUUGUUAUUCUAUAUUUUAUUUAUUUGACAGCCAAAGCUUCCCUCCCAGAGGAGGAUGUUCCUUUGCCUUUGUCCAGAGCCCUUCAGGAGAAGCAGAGGAAUUGCUCAGAGAUGAGCUGGGAUUGCUUGGGGGGCACAAGGAGAUAGCGAUGCCCAUCAUCAUUGUAAUAGUUAGGAUUGGCUCUCAGGCAUGGUGCCGAACACUUUACCUGGAUUCUUUAAUUUAAUUCACCCGACAUGAGAUAGGUGUACUGACUGUCCCCAUUUUGCCAAUGAAAAAACUGAGGUAGAGUGAGGUUAAACCACUUGCCUAGUUCAGUGUCAGGACUGACUCUCGGCAGCCUGACCCCAGGGCCUUGACACUGACCAAGGUUGCAGUGUUGUCUGCUCCUGGAAGUUCUCACUGACCAGUUUGCAAAGUGGGAUUGCUUUUUCUUUUUCUCCUUCCUUCCUUCCUUCCUUUCUUUCUUUUUUUGAGAUGGAGUUUCGCUCUUGUUGCCCAGGCUGGAGUGCAAUGUCGUGAUCUCAGCUCACUGCAACCUCUGCCUCCCAGGUUCAAGUGAUUCUCCUGCCUCACCCUCCCUAGUAGCCGGGAUUACAGGCAUGUGCCACCAUGCCUGGCUAAUUUUGUACUUUUAGUAGAGACAGGGUUUCUCCAUGUUGGUCAGGCUGAUCUUGAACUCCCAACCUGGCUAAUUUUUGUACUUUUGUAGAGACAGGGUUUCACCAUGUUGGCCAGGCUGGUCUUGAACUCCGGACCUCAAGAUGCAAGAGAUGACACAGGUUUGGUGUUUUGUUUGUUUAAUGACAAAAGAGAAGAGCAAAAGAGAAUAUGGUUGAAAGGACAGGAAUAGAACUUUCAAACAGAAUUUUCGAUCCCUAACACAAAGAAUGGUAUUCCAAAUCUGAACACUCUAAAAGAGAGAAUAAUGCCAUUCCCCUUCGUUAUUAGAAAUAAUAUUAUUAUGUCUAUUAGGAAAAAAAAUCACACAAUUUUAAUGUGCAUCAGAAGCAUCAGGCUGAUUUUUUCCCCUCUGGAUUUUAUUUUUAAAGUCAGAAUUGGUUUCCUGCCCUUCAAGUGCUCCACUGCUGAUACCAAUAGUGAGAUUGUGUAAUUGGCAAUAAAUUUCCUACAUGAAGAGCUUCUGGCCAGCUCCUUUUGAAAGCUUAGAAUGUUUUGCUUAGUUGGGCUUUUCUGUCCCUGCAAAGUUAGUCUCCUGCAAAUUUGUGUCCACUUCUGCAGGAGGGAAUUGGAAGGCUGAGGAGAAAUUUGUUGGUGAUGAAGUAGCACAAGACAAGGCACAAAAGAUGGGGUGGGGGAGUCCAGGAGGCUGGGAGGCAGGCAUAGGGUAAAAUUGUUGAAAAGAGACACUAUAGUUCUUUAUUUAAAAAAAUAAAAAUAAAAAAGCAUCUGAAGAAUUUGCCAAUUCAGCAUUUAUCUAGCAUUUGCUUCUCUGGGGCAGUGAUUCCAAAUUCCCAGCCUGUCAGGAGCUGGAGCACCCUUUGCAACUGUUUGCUUGAUCAUAGGAUUCUCUUUUCUCCCUCUUCUUAGAAAUAAUGCAUCCAUUAAAAUAAAACUAAAGUGAAUUUAAGAUUUCAUUGUUUUGAAAUACAUAUUUUAAAAAUACAAGGUUUGAAAAACACUCCCCCUGAAAUAACUCUAGUCCUUUCUAGGGAGUCGUGAAACUGUAGCUUGUGGAGAGUAGCCUUCCUUCAGGCUUUCAUAAAGACCUGGUGACUCAGCACUGGCGGACUUCCCAGGAGUCAGUUCCCACCUUGGGGAAUAAUUUUCCAUUCCUGGGGGAGUCCCUCCGGGAGACACCUCCUCUGCUUCUUCAAGUCAGAGAAGUGUUCUGCCCUGCCCUCCCCCAGCCUCCUGCCAGGUUCCUGCUGCCAGCCUCAUGCUGUGCUGUGUAUUAUAGAAUUUCUAGACUUACUGCUCCUGCUUAAUUGUCAACUCUUUGCCAGAGAGUUUGUGCUUGCCCCUUGUGUGUGUUGGAGUAAACUUUAAUUUCUGUUUUGGAGGCUAGGGCUCUUGACUGUCAUAAGUCUAAUCAGAAUGCCACAGAAUCAGGCCGAGCACGGUAGCUCACGCCUAUAAUCCCAACACUUUGGGAGGCCAAGGCAGGCAGAUCAUCCGAGGUCAGGAGUUCAAGACCAGCCUAGCCAAUAUGGUGAGACCUUGUCUCUACUAAAAAUACACAAAUUAGCCGGGCAUGGUGGUGCACACCUGUAGUCCCAGCUACUUGGGAGGCUGAGGCAGGAGAAUAGCUUGAACCCGGGAGGCCGAGGUUGCAGUGAGCCGAGACUGAGCCACUGCACUCCAGCCUGGGCAACAGAGAACAAAGUUUUCAAUAUUGGGAUGUCUUUUAAAAGACAUGUAUUUUGAGAUAAACUGAAGUGAUUUAAAUAUAUGAGUCGAUAACAAAUCUUCACAUUCUGCACAUGUAUCCCAGAACUUAAAGUAUAAUAAAAAAAUAAAUAUAUGAGUCCAUGGGAAAUACUUUUUGAUGCAGGCAUUCACCAAAUUCUUCACGGAGACACACAUAAUGUCCUAAAAUCUGAAAGAAAACAGUUUACCUGAGACAAUGCAUAGGUUGAACUGGUCAGCAAAGUGUCCACUUGUAUCUUUCAAAGAAACUUGUUUCUGAAGAGCGGAGCAAGUACUGCUUUGAAAGAAGCAACGAUUUGGAACUGAGAGUUCUGGAUGAAUGCCUAUUGUUGAGUGUGCUGGAUAAACGAGCCCUGUACAAAGAGGUCCAGGUACGCUGAGCGGGCACAGCAUCUUUCUUGUCGCAUGUAAGUCCGCUGUCCAAAUACCCGAUCUGGGGUGCGACUGUACACAUCCUCCUGAUUUGUUAGCUCUUUCUUGGCUAAGGUCAGAGAUGAAGUUCAGAACAAAAUUUAGAUACCCGGACACACUGAAAUGCAUUUCUUUUUUUGCUAAUGAAGCAGGCUUGUGCAGAAGACCCUCUUUAGUCAUUGCUUCAGGCCAGCAUUUCCUUAAAGGGUUCAUGACUCUGGAAAAGUUGAAUAUAAAUAGGGGAAGCCCUCAGCAAAGCUUUCAGAAUUGUUUUCCCUGUUUCCAGCUUUCUACUCCUUGUUCUCUGUGUCUUCCCUCAACCCUCCUUUCUCUUCUUCCCAGUCAUCCAUUAGGCAUUUUACAACUGAUGGGCUGUUCAUGUAAUGAUUGCUACCCUAAAGGAUCAUCAAUGGGGCCAAGCCAUUGGGCGGAUUGUUGAGGCACAGGGGACCCACAUGUGCCAAUCUCUCCAGAGUUGUUUGCUAAUUGCAUGGGAUAAAAGCACCUUCAUGAUGGAGAGAUCCGAUGGUCACCACUUGGCUGAAAUGGUCAAACUUGGCAGCACUCAUCAUGACACUACCCAACUUUGUGGGCCUCCUGAUGGGCUGCAGCAUAAAGCACACAGUCUCACUCAGGGCAUGCUCUUGCCCAAACAUUCAUUCUGAAUCUCAUCAAGCCUCUAGACCUAUCCUUCAAGUUACUGGAAAUACGGGGGCAGGCUAAGGACAAGCUACACAGUAGGAUGAGGAAGCAAACCGACACAUCAAGAAUAGGGGAAAUUUUACAAGAAGACUGUCCUGGACUCAGGAAGAAAAUCAACAUCAUGAUUUAAAAGUGUGUGUCGGGGGAGUGGUUGGGGGGACCGUUCUAGAGGAAAAGAUUAAAGGAGUCUAAAGAGACAUGAGAGUCAAAUGAGGAAUAUUUACCUCAGAUCCUCGGUCAAAACAACAGCCACCAAUAAGGUGAUGAAGAACAGGAAAAAAAAAAACAUCUAAGAGAGACAUUUAAGGAACAGUUGAGGAAAUUGGAAUAUGCACUAGAUAUUAGGUGACAGUAGGGAAUUACUGUAGGGAAUUUCUGAGUUGCGAUCAUUGCAUUGCGGCUUUUUAGAAGAAUAUCUAUUUCUUUUUUAAAUUUUUGCAUUUUUAGUAGAGAUGGGGAUUCGACAUGUUGGCCAGUCUGGUCUCGAGCUCCUGACCUCAAGUAAUCCGCUGGCCUCGGCAUCCCAUAUGUCUUUUAGGAUUACAGAAUUCACAUUCAGUUCCAGGGAUGAAGUAACAAACACUAAACUGGCAAGUCCAAUGUAUAAGAAAUAGAACCCACUAACAUGCCUGAAUGUCCACCCACACCAGCCAAGCAGAACUUCCAGCAGCCAGGCAAAUCCUGAGGAAUCUUGUGAAGCAGGUCAAGGGGUUGCCUGUCUUCUGGGUUGGGGACCAGGAAAGGCCAACUGGAGAGUCUUCUUGUCCAAGUUGCUGUUUUGUGAGGUUUUGGUGUGUAGCUUGCUUUUUUCAUUUUUUAUUGUUGUGUAGUUCUCACCUCACAUGAGAGACUCCAGCUCUUCUGCUGUUGUUCCAAUAGCCUUUGUAAUGCGAUUACAUGGGCAGCUUCUAACUUGCUCAGUCGUGGGGGAGUAGAAAUACAUGAUUGGAACUUCAGGGUAAAGGUGACAGGGUGAACCCAUACAUCUAUAAGAAUUUCCCCAAGUUUUAGUAAAUGAAAAUAAAACGUGACCCACCAGAAAGUAUCAGAGAGAGGAAAUGUAAAGAGGUCACAUAAAAGAAACAGUAUUUAGAAAAGCUUUUAUUUUAUUUUAUUUUAUUAUUAUUAUACUUUAAGUUUUAGGGUACAUGUGCACAUUGUACAGGUUUGUUACAUAUGUAUACAUGUGCUAUGUUGGUGUGUUGCACCCAUUAACUCGUCAUUUAACAUUGGGUAUAUCUUCUAAUGCUAUCCCUCCCCCCUCCCCCCACCCCAUAGCAGUCCCCGGUGUGUGAUGUUCCCCUUCCUGUGUCCAUGUGUUCUCAUUGUUCAACUCCCACCUAUGAGCGAGAACAUGCGGUGUUUGGUUUUUUUGUCCUUGCGAUAGUUUGCUGAGAAUGAUGGUUUCCAGCUUCAUCCAUGUCCCUACAAAGGACAUGAACUCAUCAUUUUUUAUGGCUGCAUAGUAUUCCAUGGUGUAUAUGUGCCACGUUUUCUUAAUCCAGUCUAUUGUUGUUGGAUAUUUGGGUUGGUUCCAAGUCUUUGCUAUUGUGAAUAGUGCCGCUGUAAACAUAUGUGUGCAUGUGUCUUUAUAGAAGCAUGAUUUAUAAUCCUUUGGGUAUAUACCCAGUAAUGGGAUGGCUGGGUCAAAUGGUAUUUCUAGUUCUAGAUCCCUGAGGAAUCGCCACACUGACUUCCACAAUGGUUGAACUAGUUUACAGUCCCACCAACAGUGUAAAAGUGUUCCUAUUUCUCCACAUCCUCUCCAGCACCUGUUGUUUCCUGACUUUUUAAUGAUUGACAUUCUAACUGGUGUGAGAUGGUAUCUCAUUGUGGUUUUGAUUUGCAUUUCUCUGAUGGCCAGUGAUGAUGAGCAUUUUUUCAUGUGUUUUUUGGCUGCAUAAAUGUCUUCUUUUGAGAAGUGUCUGUUCAUAUCCUUUGCCACUUUUUGAUGGGGUUGUUUGUUUUUUUCUUGUAAAUUUGUUUGAGUUCAUUGUAGAUUCUGGAUAUUAGCCCUUUGUCAGAUAAGUAGGUUGCAAAAAUUUUCUCCCAUUCUGUAGGUUGCCUGUUCACUGUGAUGGUAGUUUCUUUUGCUGUGCAGAAGCUCUUUAGUUUAAUUAGAUCCCAAUUGUCAAUUUUGGCUUUUGUUGCCAUUGCUUUUGGUGUUUUAGACAUGAAGUCCUUGCCCAUGCCUAUGUCCUGAAUGGUAUUGCGGAGGUUUUCUUCUAGGGUUUUUAUGGUUUUAGGUCUAACAUUUAAGUCUUUAUUCCAUCUUGAAUUAAUUUUUGUAUAAGGUGUAAGGAAGGGAUCCAGUUUCAACUUUCUACAUAUGUCUAGCCAGUUUUCCCAGCACCAUUUAUUAAAUAGAGAAUCCUUUCCCCAUUGUAGAAAGCUUUUCAAUGAUAUUGUUGGAAGGUAGGGGAUAAUCAAGCAAUGCUUUGAAAUAUCUAAAGGAAAACUAAUUCCAUCCUGGAACUCUAUGCUCAAACUGUUACUUGAGUGUAUGGGAGAAUAAUACACAUUUCCUAGAUAUGUAAGGCUCAAAACAUUUACCUCUCAUGUUAUUCAAGAAGCUAUUGGAGGAUUGGCUUCUCCAAAACAAGGAAAUAAGAAAGAAGGAUGCAUAGAAUGCUAGAAAAGGGGGAAUUAAUACAUGAAAAAGGUGGAAGGAUCUUUCAGACAUCCUGGGAGGACUGCUUCACCCUGGGCAGAGAGGGCAAUCAUUCCUGAUCUAAGACAUCAGAAACCUCCAGAAGAGUCCCAGAUGGCCCAAUAACCUGAAAAUAUUGAGAGGUUUAAUAGGUGGUUGAGAAUUUGGGAUUGGAUUAGUGGAAGGUACAGAAAAAACUAACUAAGCAAAAGAAAGAGAAUGAUUAUUAACUUCUAGAAAAACACAGUUUUUAGGAAAGAAAAAGUCAUCAUAGUAUACUAUGUGGCUCAGUUGUGAAUGGCAUCUUCACAGUCAUGGUAAUGUAAGCAGUGGAUAGUGAUCCAAUUAAACUUAAUAACAGAAAAUAUUGGUGAGGUGGGAGAUCAGCAGGACUUGUUUUCUGAGCACUUGUUCCAACCCUGCUGAUCAAACAGGAUCUGGUCAAAACAGGAUGUUUAAAGAAACUGAACAAAACCAGCUAAAACCAAGAUGGCAACAAAAGUGACCUCAAGUUGUCCUCACUGCUUGUUAUACGCUAGUUAUAAUGCACUACAUGCUAAAAGACACUCCCACCAGCACUAUGACAGUUUAUAAAUGCAAUGGAAAUGCCCAGAAUUUACUUUAUAUGGUUUAGAAGGGGAGGAACUCUUGGUUCCAGGAGCUCCUCACCCCUUCUCUAGAAAAUGUGUGAAUACCCUGCCCCUUAUUUAGCAUAUAAUUAAGGCAUAGUUAUAAAUACAGCUAGCCAGCAAUCCACAAGUGCUACUCUGCCUAUAGGGCAGCCCUGCUGUGUUUGUGGAGCAGCCAUUUUCCUAUACUCUGUUGCUAUAAUAAACUUGCUUUGAUUUCACUUUAUUUUGUUGGCAUGCUCUUGAAUUUUUUCCUAUGUGAAGCCAAGAACCCACCUGGGCUGAGCCCUAAUUUUGGGGUUCACCUGUGUCAUUGAUGGUAGGAUGGGAAGACAUGGAAGGUAUGUAUAGGAGUGUAUGUUGAGGAUGUAAUAUGAAAGAGACCCAAAUGGCCAUCUUCCAGAGUUGGAAGUCCAUAGCAAAUGCCUAAAGCUUAAAAAGAUCAAGAAAUUACAAUAUAAGCAUGUUAUUUAGAGAAAUGGAGAUAGGUACUCAAAGCCUUCACUAAAAGAGUUGGCUGUUGUUGCUCCACAUAGUGGUUAAUGAGAGGUGGCUGACAGCCUGCCUUCUUUUUUGUAACAGGGCUAAAAACUGCACCAAACAGGAGCCUAUUCUCUGUAAUAUUUUGUCUAUGAAAUUCUGGAAGAAUUCUUCUGACCUCAUCACUAUAGGACUUCAUGCUCUGGGCCAGGGGUCACAAAAUGGUGCCAUAGUAGUGGGUUUUUUUAUGACUCCCAUAGUUUUAUAUUUUUAAUAAAAAUAUUUGAAUUUAUUGAGAACAAUUACAAAUCAGGAGAUUUACAGGAAAAUACCAAUUUCUAAUUUCCCUUGAAAGAAAUCAGAAGAUUCAUGAAAACAAAUGCCUGCCCAACAACAGCAGCUGACUGACACGGGGACAGAGCUGUGCCCCUCAGGCAGCCAAAGGCCCCACCUGGUACUCACCUGCUCCCCACCUUCCCCCACUGGCGUUUUUGGUUACGUGCCUGGCCUCUGUAGGCAUUUGCAUACAGGUGUCAAAAUACUGCUUUUCCUACUUCACCUUUUGGAAGCACUAUAAGGGAUUUUUUUCUCUCUUUUCCUCCCCAUUAAUUUUCUAUUCCUUCAUAAGACAAGUAUUAUGCAAUCUAUUAGGGAUAGUGUAGCAGAGAGAGUUCAGUCACUGCAGUGAGAAAGAACCAGUUACGAAUCCAGAUUCUACCAAGUUCUGUGACUGUGAGCAAGCCACUUAAUUUCACUGUACCUCAGGUUCCUUUUGAGUUGAAUGGGUCAUAUAAUUGUUGUUGCAAGGGUUAGGCAUGAUAAUUUUCAUGAAGUUGAUUGCCCACUCCAUUGUUAAAAGCCACAACACCUAAAGCAAAUUAUUAAAUAGAUAAUAGAUUUGAUUAAAUAUCUUCAGGCAGAUGUAGGUAUUCCCAAAAGUUUUUUCAUCUCUAAGAGACAAGACAAGAUUCUGAUCAUCUAAGGGUCUUGGCCCAUGGCUGUUCAAUGCUGUGAGUGGGUAUAGUCUAAUUGUUUAAGUAAGUUGAUUUAUUGGGGAAAAGAGAAUGCUGAAGUUUAAAGUUUCAAGCCUAGAACCCAUGGACCCUUUAGUUAAUCAGUUUCCACAAAUAUUUACCAAGGGUCUCCUGGGUUUCAGACACUUUAAUGGGCUUCAAGUAAGGUACAUGUUGUUGUUGUUGUUGUUGUUUGAGAUGGAGUUUCGCUCUUGUUGCCCAGGUUGGAGUGCAGUGGCGCGAUCUCGGCUCACUGCAACCUCUGCCUCCCGGGUUCAAGCAAUUCUUCUGCCUCAGCCUCCCGAGUAGCUGCGAUUACAGGCAUGCGCCACCACGCCCGGCUGAUUUUGUAUUUUUAGUAGAAAUGAGGUUUCUCCAUGUUGGUCAGGCUGGUCUCGAACUCCCGACCUCAGGCAAUCUGCCCGCCUUGGCCUCCCAAAGUGCUGGUAUUACACACGUAAGCCACCGCGCCUGGCCAGUACAUGCUUUUUUCUAAGAGGAACUCAGAGUUUAAUGAAAAAUGCUUAUUUAUAAAGAGACAUAUGACUAGUUGUGGCAGUAAGAAUUUAGAAAAGAGGGAGACUUUUUAACUGUGUGAUUCUAUACGUUCUAGAAUGUGCUCCUGGAUGUUGUCAGGACUUACUUCCUGGGCUUUCUGCAGAAUAGGAUCAGCAGUUAUCGAUUCACAAAGGGUCAGAAGAUUGCUUUAUGUGGCCCUAUAUUUCACAGAAUUUUAGAGUUGGCAUCUUUAAAAUAAUAACAGGGAAAAUGCUGGGCCAUCCGCAGAUGUUCAACAAAUUCUUAGAAUAUGUAAGCAGGAAGUCAAUUUCAUCAACUCCGAUCCAUCAAAAAUGAUUUCAAAUAAGAAGGGCGGCGCUGAGAGACUGAGUGACUAGGUUAAGGUUACACAGCUUGCUAAUCAAGCAAGGAGUGCACAGAAAUGACUAGUCUAUUGUAGGGAGGAGAAGAAAAUAUCUUUCAGAUUUGCCCUGGAAAGAGAGAGAAAAGAUCUUCCACUGCCUUCUCUAUGGUGAUGGCUGGUGUAAGGAACACCUGCAUCCUACCUAAGUAUUUAACUUGAGACACGUGAAUCCUUUCAUUUAUUAACAAAUAUUUGGGCUGGGCAAGGUGGUUCACGCCUGUAAUCCCAGCACUUUGGGAGGACCAAGGCGGGCAGAUCACGAGGUCAGGGGAUCGAGACCAUCCUGGCUAACACUGUGAAACCCUAUCUCUACUAAAAAAUAUACAAAAAAUUAGCCAAGCGUGGUGGCAGGCGCCGGUAGUCCCAGCUACUUGGGAUGCUGAGGCAGGAGAAUGGCGUGAACCCAGGAGGCAGAGUUUGCAGUGAGCUGAGAUCGUGCCACUACACUCCAGCCUGGGCGACAGAGCGAGACUCCGUCUCAAAAAAAAAAAAAAAUUGUGGAGUGCCUACCUGUGCCAGGUACGGUUCUGCAAAGCCCUCUGCCCAGCAAAACAGAGCAAGAGACUGGCUCUCAUGGAGCCUGCAGUCUAGCAGGGCUGGUGGCAGAGGCAGCUGGGGCCAGCCACAAACAAGGGAUGCAAUAAAUAUCACGGUACUGUGUAUAGCAUGGUACGAGGUGGCAGGUGCCAUUGGAAAAAGUCAAGUAGAGCAGGCACAGUGGAUGUUAUGGGUUUCUGUCCAGACCUCCUCUUCAGGAUGAAGAUAUCCCCAUCCCCGAGCUGCUGGGAUAUCGGUGGCUGGUGAAUCACAGCUGCCUCCCUCAGCUUCUGGAAACAGUCUUGCUUACAGUUAUGCCUUUCCCAGGGUGAAGCCCAUGACCAAGUCUGCCUGACCUGGGAUAUAAGGCCCAGCCCCUUUCCUCAACUGGAGACACUCUAGGGCCUUCCCAGCUCCAGAGCUCCCUGUAAGGCUGGCUCAGUCCUCAGUGGCAGCCAGCCAACCACAUGGGGUGCCGGCUUCUCUCUCCCGAUCCUGCCUUCCCAGCUUCCUCACAGGUGUGUGCUCCCUGAGCACCCCCCAAGAGCCUGCUGCAUGCCUCUCUCUCGGUCUCAGCCUUUUGUUCCAGGGAACACGAUCCUAGACAGCAAGAUAAGAAGAUCAGGAGGGAGAGGACGACAGCUUGCCUAUUUUAAACAGCACGGCCAUUGUAAACCUCAUUGGGAAGAUAACGUUUGGGAAAAGCUUGAAGUCAUGAGAAAAAUUUUAAAUUGAUAAAAACAUAAUUUAAAUGUUUCUGUUGCUUUUGUCUUUGGUUGCUUAUGGUGAAAAACCAAGGCAAAUGUCUCUUUUAUCAGGAAAAUACAUUAAUGGGCUUAAAACAUAAUGUGAAUGAAGAGAUUGAAGCCUAGCAAGGUAUAUGGCUCAGCACAAAAGAAGGAGAAUUCUGUGAUUCCCCUCUGGCAGCCCUAAAGAGAAGGGGCUGGGGCCUCCAGAGGGAAGAAGGUAUAGGGCAACAGUACUUGAGAGAGGUGAGGACCCCAGCAAUCUGAUAAGAGGCCUGGACCCAGUGCCAAGAAAUUGGCAAUGAUUUCUAGGAACUAGAGGUCUGAUAUUCUAUUUCGAGUUUCUCCCUGUACUCAUGCAUUGGCCAUCAUGCAUAAUGCCACAUCAUCUUGGGGAAUCUGGUGGGAAGAGAGGUGCUUUGUUUGCACCAGGUUAUUAUGAAGAGAGGGCAGAGGCCUAAGGCUCUCCAGCACCAAGCUGGAGUCAGGUGUUGUAGCAAGAGGCAACGCAAAAAACUGCCUGGACCAGACCCUCCCUGGAUGGUUAAUAUUGGGACUGCUGGUCUCUGUGCCGUCCUGUGAGAUUAUAGCGUGCAUAUAUUUAAUUGACUAUUAAAGGAAGAGGAGCGCCAUAUGGCUGUAAAACCUGGGGAGAUUUAGGUUACAAAAGAAGCAUGCUCAUUUAGAAAUCUUACACAUUCAGAGGUAUUAUCCAUCUCUAGCAAUAGCAGAGUGAAAUAAACAUAUUUAAGUAAUGGCAACAGCAACAAGGAAGACUUUUAAGCACACUUUCAAAUUUUGCAUUGAGAAACGUGGUGAGACCUUUCAACUUUCUGUUUCAAAAUCCAAAUGUAUUCUGAUGAAAGCUCUUUAUUCAUGAAAAUUUUUGUGCAUGUGACUAGGAUUUUACUCUACACAUCUCAGACAAAACUCCUUUCAUUCCACCUGCCAUUGGGCAAUGCUCUCCAAGGGGAGGAGGAAGCUCCUUCCAGAGUCCUGCCAGACAUCAGCACAGGCCCUGGGGCAAGAACUGGUCACCUCUGCCUGUGCUGGGUGGAGAGCAGAGGAGUUGGAUGAGGAGGGACAUCAAAUUUAAGGAACAAAAUCAAUUGACCCUGUUUUGGUGCUAACUUUUCCUUGGCUGGUAUUCUAUGUCCAGAGAAGCAAAUGGGGUGGUCCUGUACCUUUCCCAAAUGGUCUCUCCUCCUCCUCCUCCUCUUUCUCUUCCUCCUCCUUCUUCUUCUUCCUUUUCCUCCUCCUCCUCUUCCUCUUCUUCCUCCUCCUCUUCCUCCCUCCCUUCCUCCUUCUCCUUCUUCUUCCUCCUCCUCUUCCUCCCUCCCUUCCUCCUUCUCCUUCUUCUUCCUCCUCCUCUUCCUCCCUCCCUUCCUCCUUCUCCUUCUUCUUCCUCCUCCUCUUCCUCCUCCUCCCCUUCUUCUCCUUCUCCUUCUUCUUCUUCUUUUUUGAGAUGGAGACUCACUCUGUCACCCAGGCUGGAGUGCAAUGACACGAUGUCAGCUCACUGCAAACUCCGUCACCUGGGUUCAAGCGAUUCUCCUGCCUCAGCCUCCUGAGUAGCUGGGAUCACAGGCAUGUGCCACCAUGCCCAGCUAAUUUUUGUAUUUUUAGUAGAGACGGGGUUUCACCAUGUUGGCUAGGCUGGUCUGAAACCCCUGACCUCAGGUGACCCCCCAACCUCAGCCUCCCAAAGUGCUAGGAUUACAGGCGUGAGCCACCGCGCCCUGCCCAAAUGGUCUUUUCUUAUCUGAGUUCCAUUCUUUAAAAGUAAACUUAAAAAAAAAAAAAGCCUCUUAUCAUGAAGACGUAUGUGGGCAGGUAGAAAGGAUUUUACAGGAUACUUUUUGUAAUGCUUCCAUACAAUAUAAAAUUUAACAUCUUAACCAUUUUCCAGCAUAUAGUUCAGCAGCGUUAAGUACAUUCAUGCUGUUGUGCAACGAGCACCACCAUCCGUCUCCAGAGCUUUUUCAUCUUCCCAAACUGAAGCUCUGUACCCAUCAAACAAUAACUCUCAGUUGCCCCUUCCCUCAACCCCUGGCAACACCCAUCCUACCUUCUGUUUCUGAAUUUGGCUCCUCUAGGAACCUUAUAUGAGUGGAAUCAUACAGUAUUUGUCGUUUUGUGACAAAUACUUAUUGGCUUAUUGCACUGAGUGUAAUUUCUUCAAGGUUCAUCCAUGUUCUAGUAUGUGUUAGAAUUCUCUUCCUGUUUAAGGCUGAGUAAUAUUCCAUCGUGUGGAUAGAUCACAUUUUGCUCAUCCAUUCACCUGUUGAGAAAAACUUGGUUUGCUUCCACUUUGGACUAUUGUGAAUAAUGCAGCUAUGAACAAGUGUGGACAAAUCCCUGGAACAGUUUUUGUAAUUUGCUUUUACUUCCCCAGGGCAACUUAGGACUUGACAGAUUUUGAAUAUGAACUUACUUUCCUUCCUUGAGACUAGAUAGAUUUAAGAUUAAGUGUUUUUAAAGGGGGCCUUUUCUUUGACUAAGUAUCAUAGAAAGUAAUUUGGUGUCUGGUGCAUGGUGCAUUGCUUCUCUGAAUGAAUAAUUCAGACAUUUCAAAACACUAGUGGAUUUGAAAAUCAAAUUCACACAGAGAGGGUGAGUUGUGAGAAAAGGAUAGCAUAGGCACCAUGAUUCAGGUUUGGGGUUCUACAGACUGACACCAAGAAAUCAAAUGAGAAUAAAUUACAAUUCAGCUGUGAGUGUGCAACACACACACACACACACACAUGGAAGCAGCUAGUUUAAAAGUCAGGAAAGCCCACAAUUCUAGCUGCAUUUUGUAGACUACCUUGAGGUUUGAGCUUUUACCUUAUGGUAAGACAGGUGGAAGGAGUUGGGAAUAAGGAUCUGGAGAGUUGAACCUACUUGUGCUCUCCCACCUUGUUGCCUGAUAGUGUACCUUAGAUAGUUAAUGGCAAGGCUUCCAAUGGGCCAGAUGAGGUUGCAGAGAAUUUUCCAUUUCACACUACAGACUGUCCUGUUGACCCAGCCAACAGUAUCACAGAUUAAUGUCACUGGCCAAUUGAGAGGACACUCAGCAGGCAUGAGUGCUUAGGGCCUCUGGAGCCCAAGAGCCAAGAGCAGGACCCUCACCUCCUGGAUGCCAUGGCAGCUAUCCUUUCCAGUGGCCUCUCGCAGGCUACAUGGCCUCUCAUUUUUGCUUUUCCUUACACAUCUGCUCUUGUUUUUUCUCUCAACUGACUUCCUUUGUUUACUCACUUUGAAUAUAGCUCAAUAAUGCCACCAAGCUUGAUUUUCCAAUGCUACCUUUAUUGACUAUCGAGUUCAUUGCAUCUGCCAGUGGUGUCUGCAUACCUCGGUUUGAAACUUUGAGCAUCUCAUUGACAAGCUUUGGAACUCAUUGCCCAAUCCAAGUCAUCUAAUACCCUGGGUGGAUGGCAGUGGAAGGAAGGUAGGAAAGGUAGGAGGAUGGUGGUGGGAGCCCUGUGGCGUGUAGGACUACCUACCCUUCUCCCUUUAUUUUUUAUUUAUUUAUUUUUUUUUUUUGAGAGGGAGUCUCCCUCUGUUGCCAGGCUGGAGUGCAGUGGCGCUCACUACAACCUCUGCCUCCCGGGUUCAAGGGAUUCCCCUGCCUCAGCCUCCCGAGUAGCUGGGACUACAGGCACGCACCAUCAUGCCCAACUAAUUUUUUUGUAUUUUAGUAGAGACAGGGUUUCACCAUGUUGGCCAGGAUGGUCUUGAUCUCCUGACCUCAUGAUCCACCUGCCUCGGCCUCCCAAAGUGAUGGGAUUACAGGCUUGAGCCACCAUGCCUGGCCAGGACUACCUACCCUUCUUAGAGACGUCGGCUGGGAGCCAAUAAACAAGUCUAGAGCACUGACUGAAAGCACGUUGGACGAAAGAACAAAUUGGUUGAAAAUGAAGAGAGAAACAUCCAUGCCCUCAGCUCACAACGUGGUCCUGUUUAGCUUCCAUCCCUCCUUGUGUAAUAGUGGCCCUCUAGACAUGACUCACUCAUUGGAGAGACUGUAAAACAUCCAUAGAAAUAAAUCAUUGUGAUUUUGUUGUUCUUUUAUGGAAGGCCCUUGGUUACAUUAAUUAAUUAGCCAGUUAAUUAACUCAUCAGCCUCCAAAUGUGUGUUGAGCACUGACUAUGUGCCAAGCACUCUGCUUUGUCCCUUUUGCGUCAGUGUACAGAGGCUCUUAGAGUGCUGGCUACAUUUAGCUUGGGAACUAAGACAAGAGUCCCGACACCUGGUAAGAGUUUACCUGUCUCCCAGGGACUCUCUAGGAGCUUUUAUAUGUUAUCAUUUUUAAUCCCCUGGCAAUUCCAAGUGCUAAGUAUCAUAUUUUCCUUGUUGUAGGAAUAAAUCCGAGGCUCAGAAAGGUAAAUAGCUUGCCCAAGUCACACAACCAGCAAGUGACCAUGAGUGAUGCCCUAGAUGGCCUUUGGCAAAAUUUGUGCUUUUGGUACUCCACAACCCUUGGCAAAGCUAUGAAUAGAGGUGGAUGUGCUAGAGACGUUUGAUUGAAACAUACACCCUGUAGGUAGGUCUGUAACUCCCUGAAAUAAGUAUAACCCAGAUAUGUCCAUUUUAAAGUGAAUUUUUAAAAAUACUGGCUGGGCACGGUAGCUCAUGCCUGUAAUCCCAGCACUUUGGGAGGCCGAGUCGGGUGGAUCACCUGAUGUCCGGGAGUUCGAGACCAGCCUGGCCAACGUGGUGAAACCCCAUCUCUACCAAAAAUACAAAAUUAGCUAGGCAUGGGGGCACAUGCCUGUAAUCUCAGCUACUCGGGAGGCUAAGGCAGGAGAAUUGCUUGAACCCAGGAGGCACAAGUUGCAGUGAGCGGAGAUCGAGCCUUUGCACUCCAGCCUGGGCGACGAGAGCGAAACUUCAUCUCAGAAAAAAAAAAAAAAAAAUACUGUGCCACUCUAAUGAUUUAUCUGGAAGGAACAAGGGAAAGGGGUUCCUUUCUGAUUGUUUCUAAUUGUUUCCAUUUUCUUGAUGCAUCCUAAAACAACAAUGAUAUGUUCCAUGCCUGUGUCCCUACCAAAUCUCAUGUCGAAUUGUAAUUCCCAAUGUUGGAGGUGGGUGGGAGGGCCUGGUAGGGGGUGUUUGGUUUAUGGGGGCAGAUCUGGAAAGUAAAACAUGGAAAUGUGCCUGAAAAAAAACAACAGUAUUCUAUCUUUUAAAAAAUUAGAGAGUUUACACUGGUUAAAAAAAUUAAUUUAUUGGCCGGGUGUGGUGGCUCAUGCCUGUAAUCCCAGCAGGGAGGCCAAGGUGGGUGGGUCACUUGAGGUCAGGAGUUCAAGACCAGCCUGGCCAACAUGGUGAAACCCCGUCUCUACUUAAAAAAAUACAAAAAUCAGCUGGGUAUGGUGGUUGGUGAGUGCCUGUAAUUUCAGCUACUUGGGAGGCUGAGGCAGGAGAAUUACUUGAACCCGGGAGGUGGAGGUUGCAGUAAGCAAAGAUCGUGCCACUGCACUCCAGCCUGGAAGACAGAGUGAGACUCCAUCCCCCCCUCCAAAAAAAAUUAUUUAUUUAAAAUUUUCUUUUAAAAUUCUUGGAAUGAGUGAUCGAUGAACAUUUGAACAUUAUGUUAAAUUCAUCUUGGUCUUAUAAUUAAAUUACCUUUGUUAUCACCUCCUUUGUUCUUAACAGGAAAUUAUAUUCUCCAUGCUUUCUCUGUCUGAAUUUUCCCUAGUUUUCGGUUCUAUCAAUUUAUUUAAAACUAUUUUCAUAUUCUCUCUUACACAUGAAGAUACACAGGAUUUAAAAAUAAUUUAGUAGUUUUAAAAAAAUCUGAGAGUAAAUUAGAAUGUUAAAAAGAAUUUUUCAUGUUGGUAUUCUCAAUUCAAUUAGUAAAAUAUGCCUAUAAUAUUUCCUAAUCCAAAAUAGUUAUAGAUUAACUGUCUUGAAAUUUCAGUAUGACUGGAAUGAACUUCACAACCUGAAGACAGCUAAGGUUGCAAAGCUGGCACUCAAACCUCAGUGAGGCUUGGGUUCUUGUCAACUCCUGAGUCAGCACUGGAGGUGCAGAUGGUCACUUGUACAGGACUAAUUGUUUCUCUCUGCUGCAAGAUACGCAGAACCUUUAAAUGCCGGAAUUAAUACAGGGUUUUUAAAGAAAAGUUGGAAAAUACAAGUUGAAAGGAGAAAUAAAUCUCUGCUAGCAGGAGGCAAGAAGCCCUAACUGUUUCUGACAUGGCUCAGAAGACCCUGCACCUGGAUGGCCGCACCACCUCACGCUGUCCAAGAGAGGUAUGCCCUGGCCAAAGGCUUCACUCACUUCCCAGUCUGUCACGAAAAAGAACCGCAUGUUUUCCUCUAACACAAAGGUCAGCAAAUUACAGCCUGUGGGCCACCUGUGUGUAUAAGGCCCAUGAACUAAGAACAGUUUUCUUACUUUUAAAUGGUUGGAAAAAAAUCAAAAGAAGAAUAUUUUAUGAAGAUAGAAAUUAUCUGAAAUUCAAAUUUUAGCGUUUAUAAACAAAGUUUUUUAAAAUUUUUUUAUUUUAUUUUUUUGAGAUGGAGUCUCGCUCUCUCUCUCAGGCUGGAGUGCAGCGGUGCGAUCUUGGCUCACCGCAAACUCUGCCUGCCAGGUUCAAGCAUGCCCGGCUAUUUGUAUUUUUAGUAGAAACAGGGUUUCACCAUGCUGGCCAGGCUGGUCUCGAACUCCUGACCUCGUGAUCCGCCCGCCUCGGCCUCCCAAAGUGCUGGGAUUACAGGCGUGAGCCACCGUGCCCAGCCUAUAAAUAAAGUUUUAUUGGAACACAGCUGCGUUUGGUCCUUGGCUUGGCUCCUGUUAAGGGCCUCAGGGAGCCUCCAAUCAUGGCAGAAGGUGAAGGGGGAGCAGGUGUCUCACACGGCAGGAGCCAGAGCAAGAGAGAGAGUUGGGGUGGGAGGUGUCACACUGUACAACAACCAGAUCUUGGGAGAACUCAUUCACUAUUGUGAGGAUCGCGCCAUGCCAUGAGGGAUCUGCCCGCAUAACCCAAACACCUCCCACCAGGCCCCACCUCCAACAUUGGGAAUUAGAACUCAACAUGAGAUUUUGUAGGGGCACAGACACAAACCUUAUCAAUGUUGUUUUAGGAUGCAUCAAGAAAAUGGAAACAAUCAGAAAGGAACCCCCUUCCCUUGUUCCCUCCAGAUCUCCUGGUCUACCCACAUCUAUGCCAGUUCUUUCUGGUCUUUUCUCCUGCUAUGAUGGAUGAAAUUUCCCUGCUUCUAUCAAGGCCAAAUCCUACCUUCUCUGGAUUCCAUCCUGCUUGCUUUUCAGUAAUCUCUCUUCUUUUUCUCUCUUUCCUCCACCAUCUCUUUUAUCCUUUCUACUAGAUCAUUCUUACCAAUAUUCAAGUGUGCUCUGAAAUCAUUCCCUAAAAUAAUUCUCCCUUGACCCAGCUGGCACAGCUCUAGCUCUGGCCUGUUUCUCUGAUCUGCUCCAAGGGUCACUCAUGUGUGUCAUCUAUGGUCACUGAACCCACUGCCUCCCCUCCCAUUCUUCUCACUCUUACCACUCCACUGAACCUGAUCUUGUAAGGGUCACCGUGUUGCCAAAACCAGAGGAAGCUUCUGUCUUAGUCUGUUUUGUGUUGCUAUAAAGGAAUAUCUGAGGCUGAGUAAUUUAUAAAGAAAGAAGGUUUAUUUGGCUCACAAUUCUAAGAGCUGGAAAAGUUCAAGAUUGGGCAUCAGCUGUGGGCAUCAGGCUCAUGGCGGAAGGUGAAUGGGAGGGGAAUGUGCAGAGAUCACAUGGCACAUGAGGAAGCAAGAAUGGGGGAGGUGCCAGGCUCUUUCCAACAGCCAGCUCUCUCUGGAACGAAUAGAAUGAGAACUCCCUCACCCCAAGGGGGGCAUUAAUUAGAGGUUCACACCAAGACCCAAACACUUCCCACUAGGCCACACCUCCAAUAUUGGGGAUAAGUUUCAGCAUGAGGUUUGGAGGGGACAAUUAUCCAAACCAUAGUAACUUCUCACUAUUUCUCAAACUUUCAGCAGCAUUUCAUACCAUUACUGUUUUCUUUUGUCUUAAAUUUUUUCUCUUGGUUUUGGCAUGCCAUACUCGCCUAGCUUUCCUUCUAAUUCACUAUCUUUCUUUCUUUCUUUCUUCCUUCCUCCCUCCCUUCCUUUUUCUCUAUCUUUCUCUUUCUUCUUUUAGGGACAGCUUCUCAUUCUGUCAUCCAGGUUGGAGUUCAGUGGUGUGAUCUUGGCUCACUGCAGCCUCAACCAUCUGGGCUCGAAUGAUUCUCCCACCUUAGCCUCUCAAUUAGCUAGAAUUCCAGGCACAUGCCAUCAUGCCCAGCUAGUUAAAAAAAGAUUUUGUGUAGAGACAGGAUCUUGCCCAGGGUGGUGUUCAACUCCUGGUCUCUAGUGAUCCUCAUGCCUCGGCCUCCCAAAGCACUGAGAUUACAGGUGUGAGCCACUGUGCCUGCUGUCAUUUCUUUACUGGCUCUUUCUCCUGAGCCCAGUCUCUAGUUCUGCUGUGGGAUGCCUUUCUUCUCUGUGUAGUCUGUCUACAUUGUUCCAUACUGUAUCUUGCUUUAAAAGCCAUCAACAUGCAAGUGACUUCCAAAAUAUUUCCAGCCCUGAUGCUUCCCUGACAGGCAGACUUCAGAGCCUCUUGACUCCUUACUUGACAUCCUCACUGGGAUAUCUAACAGGCAUUUCAAACAUAAAAUUGUCUAAACAGAACUCUUAAUUUUCCACCACACACUGCAUGUUCUCACUCAUAGAUGGGAAUUGAACAAUGAGAUCACUUGGACACAGGGCGGGGAACAUCACACACCGGGGCUUGUCGGGGAGUUGGGGGCUGGUGGAGGGAUAGCAUUAGAAGAAAUACCUAAUGUAAAUGAUGAGUUGAUGGGUGUAGCAAACCAACAUGGCACAUGUAUACCUAUGUAUCAAACCUGCACGUUGUGCACAUGUACCCUGGAACUUAAAGUAUAAUAAUAAAAAAUUCCACCACAAACCUGUUCCUACACGAGUCCUUUUCAGCUUGAUGAGUGGAACUACGAUACAGUUGUUGAGGCCAAAAAUCUAGGAGUCAUAAGAGAUUCUUCUCUUUUGAUUCAGUAUUCCCAUCUCUCCUCCACCCCAAAUCUGGUUCAUCAGCAAUUCAUGCCAGUUCUACCCUCAAAAAAUUACCUGAAUCCAUCUCCAUGGUUGCCACCCUAGCCCAUGCUCUAUCCUGCACAUCUGGCCCUAGCGGGGUACUCUGGUCUCUCCCUCCACCCUUGCACCUGUCCCUUGCUUCUUCCCGGGGCCUCUCCAAACACACCUUCUACCACACUCUCCCUGCUCACUGCACUCCAACCUGUGCCCAUUCCUCCACCAUGCCAAGCCCACUCCUAUCUUGGGGCUUCUCAUUGUUCGCAUUUUCUGUGAGAGUUCUUCCCUCAACACCCAAACUAAAGCAGACCCUUUCCCCAUAGCCCUUUGUAAAUUUUCUUAAGAUCAUCACUCUACAAAUAUAUCUUAUUGAUGAGUUCUGUACUUGUGUUUUGUUUUUCUCUUCCAGAAUGUAAAAAGCAGGAACUUCUGAUGUAUCCCUGACUCCUACGAUUGUCUUUGCUUUUAAUCAGUACUUUAAAAAUUGAUUUAUUUUAGUUCCCAGCAUAUUUUUUCUUUUUCUGUGCAAAAUAUUUUCCCAUAUUGUUUACAUAAGUUUUGAGAGGUGACAGCGUGCUGGCAGUCCUCACAGCCCUCGCUCCCUCUCGGCGCCUCCUCUGCCUGGGCUCCCACUUUGGCAGCACUUAAGGAGCCCGUCAGCCCACCGCUGCACUUUGGGAGCCCCUUUCUGGGCUGGCCAAGGCUGGAGCUGGCUCCCUCAGCUUGCAGGGAGGUGUGGAGGGAGAGGCGCGAGCGGGAACCGGGGCUGCGCGCGGCGUUUGAGAGCCAGCUAGAGUUCCGGGUGGGCGUGGGUUUGGCGGGCCCCGCACUUGGAGCAGCCGGCCAGCGCUGCCGCCCCCGACAGUGAGGAGCUUAGCACCUGGGCCAGCGGCUGCGGUGGGUGUGCUGGGUCCCCAAGCAGUGCCGGCCCACCAGCGCUGCCCUUGAUUUCUCGCUGGGCCUUAGCUGCCUUCCCACGGGGCAGGGCUCGGGACUGCAGCCCGCCAUGCCUGAGCCUUCCCCCGCCUCCAUAGGCUCCUGUGCAGCCCCCGCCUCCCCCAACGAGUGCCACCCCCUGCUCCACGGCGCCCAGUCCCAUCAACCACCCAAGAGCUGAGAAGUGUGGGCACACGCCAGGGAACUGACAGGCAGCUCCACCUGCAGCCCCAGUGCGAGAUCCACUGGGUAAAGCCAGCUGGGCUCCUGAGUCUAGUGGGAACUUGGAGAACCUUUACGUCUAGCUAAGGGAUUGUAAAUCACCAAUCAGCACUCUGUCUCUAGCUCAAGGUUUGUAAACACACCAAUCAGCACCCUGUGUCUAGCUCAGGGUUUGUGAAUGCACCAAUCAACACUCUGUAUCUAGCUACUCUGGUGGGGACUUGGAGAACCUUUGUGUCCACACUCUGUAUCUAGUUAAUCUAGUGGGGAUGUGGAGAACCUUUGCGUCUAGCUUAGGGAUUGUAAACGCACCAAUCAGCACUCUGUCAAAACAGACCACUCGGCUCUCUGUAAAAUGGACCAAUCAGCAGGAUGUGGGUGGGGCCAGAUAAGAGAAUAAAAGCAGGCUGCCCCCAGCUGGUUAGUGGGAACGUGUAUCGGGUCGUCUCGCGCUUUGUGGGAGUUUUGUUGUUUUGCUAUGUGGGACUAUAUUGCCUUUGUGAGCUAUGACACUCCCUGCGAAGGUUUGUAGCUUUACUUUCGAAGCUAAUAUAAGCUGUUGAGCCUUGGUGGGAGGAAAAAGCUCCAAACGCACCACUUUAAGAGCUGUAAUAGUUACCGCGAAGGUCCGUAACUUCAUUGCUGAGGUAUCAAGACCACUAAACCCACCUAGAAGAAAAACUCGGAACACACCCAAACGUAAUAAUGAAACAAAACUCCGGAUACGCCACUUUUAAGAACUGUUACUACCGCGAGGGUCUGAGGCUUCCUUUUUGAAGUCAGACUAAGAACCCACCAAUUCCAGACAGUUUUAUGUUUAACUCAAUAUGGUUGUUUUUUUCGUGUUUAACUGUAUACACAAAUGUUUUAAUUGCAUGAUACGUGCUCUGGUUUCCUUUGGUUUACUUCCCUGUGAUCUGUCACUUAGGUAAUUACUAAUUUUUCACAGUUGUGGGCGACAUGCUGAUUUUUGUGCAAGGGUGCGUGUGUUCUGUCUGUACUACUGGAAACUGGAGUUCCAUGACACCGCAGCAUACUUCUAGGGUCUUGCACACCUGGUCUGGCUUCAGUAAGGGAAUAAACCAAGUCUAGAGUGCAAUUAGCGUUUGAAUUAGUGACAUGAGGAUAAACAGGUGAUUAUCCCAUCUAAUAGCUGUUGAAUGGUGUUAGAGAUACUAUCAGACCGCUUGAGCUUCAAACGUAGGGGUUUAUUGACGAUUAAGAAAGGACUAUGGGACUAUUGGUUUAAAUAAAUGAAAAUAGGGUUUCCAAAAUGAAGUUAUUUCUAAGUGCUUUAAACCAACUGAUUCCAACUUCUAAAGUUGCUUAAAAGGUGAAGAGCAGAAAUCACAUUUGUACUUCCUUUUGUCUGAAGCGCUCACAGUGUUAAGUAUAGACAUUCUUACACACUUUCGGUUAGGUGAAGAACACAUAAAAUUCAGUAACUGCAUUUUGCCCACGGGGAGACCAAGUCAGAACUCUCUACAGACUUCCACAGAGGUCACAAUCAGACACUGAAGAGACAAAAUUAGAACUCAGUGUUCUGGGCUUUAGAAGGAUCAGCUUCUAAAACCAACACUUUUUCUCUCUGAAAUCUAUAUUGAGAUUUUUAGAGUUAGCAACAGGUGAGAACAUUUUUAUUGAUGUUUGGCUUCACAGUUUUAAUUACCUGUUUUGGAUUAGAGCUUGUGGGAGUCUGCAGUCUGAGUUGGUGGGGACCUGAUGGAAUAUAUUACAGCUGCUAUUUUCAUAAAAGUUUAUGCUUAACUUUUUUUGCCUUAAGUUUUGGGUUCGUGGAUUUAGGGUCAACACAGGAUUACAACGGUCUAGGUUUUCCAGAAUUGCCACAAAAUUCAGUAAAACUUUCACUGAGCCACCCUUCUUGGUGAAGAAGUAAAACCUUAGCAAAAGAAAUGCUGGGAAGAGUGUGACUUUGAUAAAUGCAAAUAUGACUUUCUUCCAUGUACGUGUGUAGCACUGAAACAAAUUUGGUCUAUUCCUUUAAACAUAUACAGUACAAAUGUUUUUCCUUUCAAACAAAUAGAAAUCAUUACCCUUUACUGAUUUUAGAUAAUUCACAAAAUGAGUUCUGUUUACCAAUCAAGUAACUCAUGCUGGUGUUUAUAUCUGAGGGAAAAUUAGUGAACUCACAUGUCUGGCUAGCCUGGCCUCUGAUUUGCAUAUAUGUAAAUCAGUCCCUUUCAUUUUUUUCAUGAUCAGCCUGCUAGUCCAAGGGUUAGAUCAUCCUGAACAGUAAGCUGGCACUUUAUUUGCUUGUAAGAGAGAACUUAUACAUCUGCUAUACAAUCUGCUAUACGUUUUUGGAGGCGAUGAUGAGCAGUGAGGAGGAGGGCAAGGACUGGCUUAUGGUGGAUUACACAGACUUACUGUAUAUAUGGCCCAGAUGCUACGUGGAAGACUUACACAAAAAUUCCUUGUUUUUGUGAAGGUUAGACUUAACUAGGCAUCUGUAUUUUUUGUUUGCUAAAUCAAGUUAGCUAAGCAGGUUAGUGCUGGCCACUCUUUACUGGCCAGGCGUCCUGGGGGGGUCUUCCCAGCAAGCUCUACAGAAGCAGCGCGGCUCUUCUCUCGUGGGUGUGGAUCUUGAGAUGGGCGCGCUGCUCUGAUGCGGUGCUGCGUCUCCCUUCAGGAAGAAGAUGGGAAUCGUACCAGUUCACAGAGAUCUUCCUGGUCCUCAGUUAAUACAGAAUAUUAAUGAAACUUAUCACUUUAAAUGAACCCAGGUAGCCGCCCUUGUCAUCUUAACUACCAACGAAUGUCUUCAGGCCGUUAAGACAGGGCAAAGGGGUGAGAGGAUCGGGUGGGGCGAGAGGAAAGCCUGGCCCGUGCGGGGGUCAGACCUUCAUUCUGCCGUCAGCUGUGCUGGAGACUCUCAGCAAGGGAGAGACGUGGCGUCUCUGAGUGGUUUUUGCCCUAAAGGAUGCUUACGGUCAUAGGAAGCUUUUCCAUGUGUUUCCUUCAUGGGUGUCUACGGCUUUUGUUUUCAGCUGCGCUUUGCACAGGGGCUGGAAGGCUAACUCCCCAAAAGGGAACUUCCUCUCCUUCUAGAAACUGACCCCUGGUGGUUGCUAUAGCAACUGCAAAGCGAGAAUAAUGAGCUGUGUAAACAAGCCCCAUUCCCAGUACUGGGGCGUUGCUAGCCCUCCUUAGAGAGGGCGAGGGAGAGGAGGAUGCUGUGCCUGGAAAGCGGCUCUUGAGGAGAGCUGGAAUCUCGGCAAAGCGUCCACUCCCUCCCCUCCCCUUUCCUCUCACCUCUAGUGUUCCCACCAGCCCCGGGGAGGAGACAAAGGACGUGGGAGGGCAGCAGCAUGCAGGGGGCCUGCCUUUGACGCCCAGGAGUUGAACACCAGACAGAAAAUGAAAUCUAAACAUUUACCCAGAGCCCUGGGCUAGAAAUG